UUGAUCUUCGAAACUCAUAAUGUCUCGUCAUAGGUUUGUUGGGAAGGAUCCAAAAUGGAUAAACAUUAUCCUUGGUCAUACUAAUGUUGGGUGGAAGCUUUUUCAGGCGUAUAAUGAAAUUCGUCACCUCCUCAACUUUAUCUUAAUCUAUCAAGAGAACAAGAAAGCUAGAUAAUGUGCUGCUUGCGCAUACAAGAUAUUCAUUAGCCUCUCUUGGCCAUAAUAUCUUGCUCUUUCUUGUUAUGUAUCGAAAAAAUAAAAAUAAAAAAAAAUUAAAAAGUUUUUUGGUAUUAGACCAUAGACUUAGUUUACAUCCUGAUUAUUAGUUAAUUGUUUGUAAAUUGCCAAACUGGUGAAUUGAAUUAAAUUAGUGUAAAUGAUGCAUGAAUUGUUGAGGAGGAAGGCUUCGUUGGAAAUAGUGGAUUUAGCUAAGUCUCUUUGUCCAUCAAUUGAAUUUGUGAAUAAAUUAAGCAGGGUUUAAUCAUUGUGAAUUUGAGAAUCUUUUUAGAUAAUUAGCCAUCUUCCUACCUUACUACACUCAACCUUACUUUUCCAGGCUUUUCUUUUUUCCUCUUUUUGUCCAUUGUUAAUUUAUUAUAUGAAUCGAGAUUACAGACAAAAUUUAAAAGUUUUAUUGAUUUUGUGUCGAGAGAAAUUAAUUCUUUCAGGGUUUUGUGAUUAUUCCUUUUAAUAAUGUCAUAUUCAAGAUUUAAAUUUAUGCUUUCUUCUUGAAAGUAUAAUAUAUCUUACCCGUAAAAAAACAUAUGAAUGAAAGUCAUAAAUUUGAUGUGGUUAGAUGGGCUUCUUUCUUUGCUUUUGUAGUUACAUUGCUGGCGUUUCAUUGAAGCCAAUUUGUUUAACUAACAUGGCAGGUUUGGCAGCAUUUCCCCCAAUAAUUGAAGUUGCUAUUUCAGCCAUGCGUUCCUUGUUAAAUAAUAAGUCAGUUCAUGCUAAUGAAGUAGUAGGAUUGAGGUUAUGAAAUUCGAGUUUUAUUUUUUAUAUUCAAAAGCAUUGAUAAAUUAUAUAGAUAUCAUGGGAAAAUAAAAAUAAAAAUACCCCUAGUUGAAGCAAAAUCAUAAUAAGCCUGAAAAUAUAGGAAGAC
rnacentral:lncRNA from 1 species